rnacentral:rRNA from 1 species
CACAGAGGUCUCAAGCGUUGUUCGGAUUCAUUGGGCGUAAAGGGUGCGUAGGUGGCGCGGUAAGUCGGGUGUGAAAUUUCGGAGCUUAACUCCGAAACUGCAUUCGAUACUGCCGUGCUUGAGGACUGGAGAGGAGACUGGAAUUUACGGUGUAGCAGUGAAAUGCGUAGAGAUCGUAAGGAAGACCAGUGGCGAAGGCGGGUCUCUGGACAGUUCCUGACGCUGAGGCACGAAGGUCAGGGGAGCAAACGGG